rnacentral:rRNA from 1 species
CCCUUAGAUGUCCUGGGCUGCACGCGCGCUGCACUGAUGUGUCCAGUAAGCACCUAACCUAUUCCGAGAGGAGCGGGUAACCUUAGCAAAGCACAUCGUGAUGGGGAUAGAUUAUUGCAAUUAUUAGUCUUGAACGAGGAAUUCCUAGUAAGCACAAGUCAUCAGCUUGUGUUGAUUACGUCCCUGCCCUUUGUACACACCGCCCGUCGCUCCUACCGAUUGAAUGUUCCGGUGAGCUCUUCGGACUGCGCGGUCUGCAGUUUCUGCGUUCCGUGCGGAAAGUUGUGCAAACCUUAACAUUUAGAGGAAGGAGAAGUCGUAACA